CAGGAGAUGAAGGCCGUUGGACAACAUAUUAUCAAUGUUAUUGUCAAACCCCAACUUAAUCGGAACUCUGCUGGCAUUUUUUCUUGACAAUACUGUUCCAGGAACUCGUGAAGAGAGAGGAAUUUUAGCAUGGCAAGUGCCCCAGGAUACGGAGACAGUCGAAGUAGAUCCGGAAAUGUACGACGAGGGAUAUGAAGUGUAUGAACCCUUAGUCCCUAAAUCCUUUUUGAAAUGGAAGGUCAUGAAGUAUAUACCUUUUCUACCAUACCGGCCAAAACAAACGGACUAAAACAUUUUCAUAAUGACGUCAACUCAGUAAAGACUAGAGAAAUACUACCAACCAAAGUGAUUUCGUCAUUGAUAUAAA